rnacentral:rRNA from 1 species
UUUUUAAUAUAUUUUUGCUCCACGCGAGAAAGAUGCGUACGUGCGCGGAAUAUAUUAAGCAUGGUUCCUUAUUUCCAACUUCUCGUGCUGAUCAGUUUGAUAUAUUAUACGUUUUUUUUCGACAUCGUAUUUAUAUAUUAAUUUUUGAAGUUUUUAUCAUUUUCUUUUCUUUAUUUCAAAACUAAAAUGGCGAUACGGGGGGGGGGGGGGGGUAACAUAAUGGACGAAGCCGGGGGUAACAUGUCGGACGCGAUCAUACCAGCAGUAAAGCAUCGGAUCCCAUCAGAACUCCGAAGUUAAGCGUGCUUGGGCGAGAGUAGUACUAGGAUAGGUGACCUCCUGGGAAGUUCUCGUGUUGCUUUCCC